AUGAACCGGAGCUUGCUCUGGGGGAUUAGUGGCGAACGGGUGAGUAACACGUGAGUAACCUGCCCUUGACUCUGGGAUAACCUCCGGAAACGGAAGCUAAUACCGGAUAUGACGUACGGAGGCAUCUCCUGUACGUGGAAAGAAUUUCGGUCAAGGAUGGACUCGCGGCCUAUCAGGUAGUUGGUGAGGUAACGGCUCACCAAGCCUACGACGGGUAGCCGGCCUGAGAGGGUGACCGGCCACACUGGGACUGAGACACGGCCCAGACUCCUACGGGAGGCAGCAGUGGGGAAUAUUGCACAAUGGGCGCAAGCCUGAUGCAGCAACGCCGCGUGAGGGAUGACGGCCUUCGGGUUGUAAACCUCUUUUAGUAGGGAAGAAGCGAAAGUGACGGUACCUGCAGAAAAAGCACCGGCUAACUACGUGCCAGCAGCCGCGGUAAUACGUAGGGUGCGAGCGUUGUCCGGAAUUAUUGGGCGUAAAGAGCUCGUAGGCGGUCUGUCGCGUCUGCUGUGAAAACCCGAGGCUCAACCUCGGGCCUGCAGUGGUACGGGCAGACUAG
rnacentral:rRNA from 1 species